CAGCCGCCGCGGGAAUACGUAGGGCGCAAGCGCUAAUCGGAAUUACUGGGCGUAAAGCGUGCGCAGGCGGUUCGCUAAGACAGAUGUGAAAUCCCCGGGCUUAACCUGGGAACUGCAUUUGUGACUGGCGGGCUAGAGUAUGGCAGAGGGGGGUAGAAUUCCACGUGUAGCAGUGAAAUGCGUAGAGAUGUGGAGGAAUACCGAUGGCGAAGGCAGCCCCCUGGGCCAAUACUGACGCUCAUGCACGAAAGCGUGGGGAGCAAACAGGAUUAGAUACCCCUGUAGUCCCUGUCCUUAUACA
rnacentral:rRNA from 1 species